AGCUAGGCAACAUUUGUUUUAAGUUUCAUUAAAUUUGAAGCAUUUUGGAGUUUUUCAUAUUUUUGCUGUUUCCAUGGUAACGGCGGCCAUUUUGAAAAUUCCAAAGUCUAACUUCUGCUGCAAAUUGUUCUCUCCAUAAUUAUAUACCAUCAUAUACCAUUUAAUGUCUGUUCAAGAACUAAAUUUAACACUUAUGUUCUGGAAUGUUCCAUGAAAAAUUCACCCCCCUCAAAUUAUGUCUAGAGACCCCCCAGUUGAAAAAAAAAUGUACCAUGUUGAAGUGUGCAUGACUCUCUUAAUAUCAUAGAAGUUUCAUAUAAAUUGGAACACAUUUCUAUUUUUCACAUUUUUGCUGUUUCCAUGGCAAUGGCAGCCAUUUUUUUUAAUUCCAAAGUAAGAUGCAAAACUACACAUGGUGAUUAACAUUAUGUUAUAGUUCCAUCAACAUUGGUCCAUUCAGUUCCAAGAACUAAGCUGGACAAAAAGUGCGGAAUAAGAAUAAUAAGAACUAGAUUUGCGAUUGCAAGCAAUAGCGGAUGGCACCCUUCCCCUAUUGGCCAGGUGAGCGGUAGCCAUGGUAACGGCGGCCAUUUUGGAAAUUCCAAACUCGAAAGUCAAGUCUACAUUAGCUAAGCAACAUUUGUUAUUAGUUUCAAUAAAUUUGAAGCAUUUUGAAGUUUUUCGUACUUUUGCUGUUUCCAUGGUAACGGCGGCCAUUUUGAAAAUUCCAAAGUCAACCUGCUGCUGCAAUUUAUUCCCACCAUAAUUAUAUACCAUCAUUUAACAAAAAAUGUCUCUAGAAUAAAUUUUACAUUGAUGUUCUGGAAUGUUCUAUGUUAAACAUUUCGCCUGUUUCCAUGGCAAUGACAGCCAUUUCGGAAUUUCUAAGUAUUGUUGGUACCUCGGGGCCCCACCACCAACAUUUGCAAAAAGUUUCAUAAGGUUGGCUCUUAUAACGAAAGAGUUAGAAUUUUGAUUUUCUUUUACAUUUUUUUAGUUUCCAUGGUAACCGCGGCCAUCUUGCACAUUCCAAAGUCAGGUGCACAACUUCACAUGGUGGACAACAUUAUAGCAUAGUUCCAUCAAGAUUGGUCCAUCCAAUUCCGAGAACUGUCUUGGACAAAAAGUGUGGAAGAAUAAAAAUAAUAAAAAUAAUAAGAAAAAAAAGAAACGAACAAUAACAAUAUGUCACCCCAACUCCGUUGAGGGUGCCAUAACUAGAUUUGUAAUUGCUAGCAAUAACGGAUGGCACCCUCGUUCCCCAUUGCCAGGCGAGCGGCAGCCAUUUUGAAAAUUUCAAAGUCAAAGAGUGCAUCUACACAUGCAAGUCAUCAUUUUUGUAAAAUUUCAUUAAGUUUGGAGCAUUUUGAAAUUUUGGACAAUUUUGCUGUUUCCAUGGUUACGGCAGCCAUUUUGGAAAUUCCAACUUCAAAAUGCAACUCCGCACAUGUCAGUCACUAUUCCUGUAAAGUUUCAUCCAGUUUGCAGCAUUUUGAUUUUUUUUGGAAAUUUUGAACAUUUGUCCUGCAACCAUGGUUACAGUAGAUAAUUCCAAAAUUCUAAAAGCAGACAUCUUAUUGCCACAUGUCAUGUUAUAUAUCAAUACAGUUUCAUUUACUUUGUUGCAAUACUCUCUGAGAAAAUGCAGAUUUUAUGCAUUUUUCCAUAGGGUCAAUGCAAAACUUGGCCCCAGUUUCCAUGACAACGGCGGCCAUUUUGGAUUAUCAAAAUAUUGUUUUGACAUCUUAGCGUACCGGGUAACAUUUUUAUAAAGUUUCAUCCAGCUGAGUGUUAUAACGAAAGAGUUAGAAUUUUUGAUAUUUUAGCUGUUUCCAUGGUAACGGCAGCCAUUUUGAAAAUUCCAAAGUCAAAUUGGAAAUCAGCACAUGUCAGUUACCAUUCCUGUGGAGUUUCUUCCAGUUUGGAACACUUUGAUUUUUUUCGCAUUUUUGCUGUUUCCAUGGAAACGGCGGCCAUCUUUUACCAUUCCAUACCAAGGUGCACAACUUUACAUGGGGGUCCUCAUUAUAGUAAAGUUCCAUCAACAUUGGUCCAUAGGAUUCCGAGAAACACGACGGACAAAAUGUGUGGAAGAAGAAUAAGAAAAA
rnacentral:lncRNA from 1 species